AAUUAUGGUGGGCUGUGUGGGGGCUUCUCACGAAGCGCCGGUUUCCGAUAACGCCGGUUACGCCAACCCUGCACAGCUCACCACCAGC
rnacentral:antisense_RNA from 1 species